CACUCCUCUCUCAUUUUCUCUCUCCCCGUUUCUUCCUCUCUCUCCCUCAUUUCCCUUCAUUUUUCUUUUCUUUUGGAAGCCAAACUUUGGAUCUUGAUUUCUCUCUCAUUACAUGGUAGAUUUAAGUGCCGUUUGAGGCAAAACGGAAAGCACGACGAACUCUACACGUGGGUACAAGCAAUUUCAGUUUUUGUGCUCCCUAGAGACUUCGAAAUUUGGACCCAUUUUGAGGGUUUUUGCAAUUCUAAGAGGUCUUGGAAAUGAACUGGUGGACAACAAUCCACCUCAAGCUUGAAAGUUGUUAGAAGGUUGUUUGCUAUUUUGUAUUUUGACCAUUAUAUAUAUAUUCAUAGUUGCGGAAAUGUAAUUAAGUUAGUAUUCAUGGCCUUGUAACUUAAGAACGAACUUAUCUUUUGUUUGAUGUAAAUGAAACUAAUGGAAUUAUGGUAUAUAUAUUUUCAUGCAAUUGUAUCA